rnacentral:snRNA from 1 species
AUACCUUUCUGGUCCUUCUGGCUAAGAUGAAGUGUAGUAUCAGUUAUUCUAAGUUUAAUAUCUGAUAUGUGGGUCAUGUGCCCACAAUAAUAUUAAAUUUAUUUUUUGUGGGGGUGUCCAUCACACUAGCUUGCUAGUGGGACUCCCUCCAACCAAUACAAAGUAAACAAUUUUAAUCAUAUAAAUAAAACUGCUUUGGCUAACCCAAC